UGGAAAGAGAGGCACAUUGGACACA
rnacentral:misc_RNA from 1 species